AUGGGGUCGUUCGAGGAACGGGUGAUGAAGGAAUUCGAGGCGCUGCGGCUGCUUCAGUCCAAGGUGGAAGGGAUCGAGGCGAUCCAGGCGCGCCUCGACGGGCUGGAUGUGAAGUUUGAAGAGCAAGUCUCGCGGCUGGAUCAGGUACAGGCCAAGGUAAAUCUGUCUGUGAGUUCAAUCGGAGAGAUCCACCAAGAGCAAGUUCAGGUGGCGCGAGUGCUGAAGGAAUCCACCAGCGUCAGAAAUGCACAGUUGGACCGGAUCGCGGCAGAGGGCUGUCUGGGAGCGUCGCCGCAGGCGGGAGAAAAUUUUGGGGCGCCGGCUACAUCACGGGCACAGCCGCCACCACAACCACCACCUCCGCCUUUGCGACCUCGCCCAUCAGCACCUCCGCAGGUACCUUCCGCAUCGCCGGGUCUGGAUGAACAGAGUAGCAAGCGACCCUGGAUGCCUAAGAUGGAGUUCCCUAAGUUUGACGGCGAGAAUGUACGCAUAUGGUUGGACAAUUGUGAAGCUUAUUUCCUGCUAUAUCAGAUUCCUGAAUCCUUCAAGCUAAUGUCCGCAUCUCUGCGCUUGCAAGGCAAUGCCACUCACUGGUUUCAGUCAUAUAAACUGACAGAAUACUGCAGUACUUGGGAAAAUUUUUGUACAGCAAUUACGCAGGAGUUUGAGGUCAAUGUACACAGAACUUGCAUGAGAGACUUGCUGAUGUUGCGUCAGCACGGCACGGUUCAGGAAUACCGUACUGCAUUCCAUCAGAUUGUGUACCAAGUUCGCAUGUAUGAGGGCAAUCUCAGUGAAACAAUGUUGGUUACACAGUUUGUGCUGGGACUGAAGGAGGAACUGAGAGCUGCGGUCGAAAUGCAAUUGCCCAGUACCGUGACUAGUGCUUGUGAAUAUGCUCUGGUGCAGGAAGCUUUGCUCGAUCGGGCCAAACAAGGGAACAACAAGCUGGCUCGGUCUGCAGUGUACACUAAACAACAACCACGCCUAGAGCACACUCAACGACCUCAGCUAGCUGCCGGAGAUAUGUGGAAGGCACGCCAGCUGAAGGACUACCGGCGACAGAAUGGACUCUGUUACAGUUGUGGCGACAAGUUCGCACCAGGUCAUGUGUGUGCUAGCAAACAGGUGGCCCAGAUCAAGGCCCUGAACAUGGCUGAAGAGGCCGCUCAGUUGACUGACGCAGUCUUGGACGCAAUAGCUACAGAGGAGGCGAUUGAGGAAGCUGCUGCAUAUCUUUCAGUCAAUGCCCUAGCAGGAACCACAAACACUAAAACCAUUCAGAUUAGAGCUCUGGUAGGAAAUCAGGUGAUGCUACUGUUAGUUGACUCAGGCAGCUCUCAUACUUUUCUGGAUCAACAGUUGGCAGACAAAUUGAAAUGUCCAACAGUACCCUUACCUCAGCCUAUGACUGUGAAAGUUGCAAAUGGGGAGAAAUUGCAGUGCACCCACAUGGUGCAGGGACUGAGUUGGUGGACACAGGGGCAUACCUUCUCCACAGAUAUGAGAGUUCUGUCAUUGGGGGGCUAUGAUGCCAUACUUGGGAUGGAUUGGCUCUCACAAUGGAGUCCAAUGACAUGCCACUGGGAGGAACAAUGGAUCCAGUUCCAAGACAAAGCUACUACAGUCACACUGCAAGGUCUGAAGAUACAACCAGUAACUCAACUGCAAGAGUUGACACUGGAUCAAGUGGUGAAGAGUCACAAAGGGAAUGAUAUUUGGGCCACUGCAGUGCUAUCUGCCCAAACAAUGCCAUCCGUAUCUCCAACUCCAGACUGUAUUCAGGACACCAUAAACUCUUUUGCUGAUAUAUUCCAGGAGCCCAAAGGAUUACCACCCCAUAGAGAAUUUGACCAUGCUAUUUCUCUGCUGCCCAACUCUACGCCGGUGAAUGUUAGGCCUUACAGGUACUCUCCCCUUCAGAAGGAUGAGAUAGAAAGACAAGUCUCUGGAAUGCUAGCAGCAGGAAUUAUCUCUCCCAGCGUGUCCCCGUUUGCUUCCCCAGUUCUGUUAGUGAAAAAGAAGGAUGGAAGUUGGCGAUUCUGUGUGGACUAUAGAAGGUUAAAUGCAGUGACGGUUAAGAACAAGUUUCCUAUGUCAGUUGUGGAUGAGCUGUUGGAUGAGCUUGCGGGUACCAAAUGGUUCACCAAACUAGACCUCAAGGCAGGAUAUCAUCAAAUCAGAAUGGUAGAGGCUGAUGAGCAUAAGACUGCUUUCAAGACCCAUUUUGGACAGUUUCAAUUUAGGGUCAUGCCAUUUGGUCUAUCAGAAGCACCGGCAACUUUUCAGUGCAUUAUGAAUUUCAUAUUUGGUGGAUUAACAAGGAAAUUUGUUUUGGUUUUCAUGGAUGACAUAUUGGUCUUCAGCAGAAAUUUGGAAGAUCAUAAGAAACAUUUACAACAGGUUUUUCAAAUUUUGAGAGAACAUCAACUCUAUGUCAAACUCAGUAAAUGUUCUUUUGCCCAGCGGCGGUUAGAGUAUUUAGGCCAUAUUAUUUCUGACGAAGGUGUGGCCACUGAUCCAAGCAAGACAACUGCUAUGGUCAACUGGCCAGUUCCUACUACAGUCACUGAGCUCAGAGGAUUUCUUGGACUCACUGGUUACUAUAGGAAGUUUGUGCAACAUUAUGGGAUUAUUGCCAAACCACUUACCAACUUACUGAAGAAGAAGGCCUUUCAAUGGAUGGCUGAAGCACAAACUGCCUUUGACCUUCUCAAGCAGGCUAUGACUUCUACUCCAGUCUUGGUAUUACCUGAUUUCAACAAACCUUUCUGUAUAGAAACAGAUGCUUGUGACUCCGGUAUUGGAGCAGUUCUUACACAGGAAGGACACCCUGUGGCUUACUACAGCAAGUCUCUAGGGCCAACCAAUCAGAAAUUGAGCAUUUAUGAGAAAGAAUUUCUAGCUAUUAUCAUGGCCAUUGAGAGGUGGAGAUGCUACGUUUGCAGGGGGCCGUUCGUGAUCAAAACCGACCACAAGAGCUUAUGUCACUUGGAAAACCAAGCCCUUACUUCAGAGCUACAGAAAAAGGCUAUGACAAAACUAAUCGGGCUCCAAUUCCAGUUCCAGUACAAAAAAGGCGAGGACAACAAGGCCGCUGAUGCUCUAUCUAGAGUGGGCCAUGUGUUUGCCUUACCUGCAGUCUCCUCAGGACAGCCUGUCUGGAUCCAGGAAAUACUUAACUCUUAUGAGAUUGAUUGCAAGGCUCAACACCUCCUACAGAAACUGGUGGUCAACCAUGAUGAAGAACCUGAGUUUUCUUUGGAAAAGGGUCUGCUCAAACACCAGGGCAGAAUUUGGGUUGGGGCCAAUGCAGGUUUGCAAACAAAAAUCAUUGAAGCACUCCACUCUUCUCCUGUGGGAGGCCACUCUGGCAGUCAGGCCACUUAUGAGAGAGUGAAGAAAUUAUUCCACUGGUAUGGCUUAAAGGAAGCAGUGGCAAAUUUUGUGCAACAGUGCCAGGUUUGCCAACAAGCCAAACAUGAACAUUGCAAGUAUCCUGGUUUGCUUUGUCCAUUGCCUAUUCCCAAAGGACCCUGGGAAGAUAUAUCCAUGGACUUCAUCGAAGGAUUACCCAAAUCAUCUGGAUAUUCAGUGAUCCUGGUAGUUGUGGACAGGUAUACAAAAUAUAGCCAUUUCAUUGCUCUCAAACACCCCUUCACUGCUGCUCAGAUAGCACAAACAUUUCUGCUCCACAUUGUUAAGUUGCAUGGCAUGCCCUAUACAAUUACUUCUGACAGAGACAAAAUAUUUACAAGUCACUUCUGGAAAGAGCUGUUCAGGUUGUGGGGCACCAAACUACAAAUGUCCACUGCCUACCACCCCCAAACUGAUGGGCAAACCGAGAGGGUUAACCAGUGUUUAGAGAUGUAUUUGAGAUGUGCUGUUUCUGAACACCCACAGCAAUGGUCUCAGUGGCUCCCCCUUGACGAAUUCUGGUACAAUUCAUCUUACCACUCGUCUCUGGGCUGCACUCCUUUCAAAGCUGUUUAUGGCCAUGAACCAAAUUUGGGGCAGUUACCUCAACCCUUGCAAGCCACACAUCCUGCUCCUCCCUUCAGGCAGCCUAGUGCAUCCAGUGUUCCACACAUCUCAACUGAAACCUCAUGUGCCAGAUCAUACUCCAGUGUACAGUACUCUUCCUGA
rnacentral:rRNA from 1 species